GGCUCCAUCGUCUAGAGGCCCAGGACGUGGCCCUUUCAAGGCCAAAACACGGGUUCGAAUCCCGUUGGAGCUAACA
rnacentral:tRNA from 1 species